UAGGGAAUCUUCCGCAAUGGACGCAAGUCUGACGGAGCAACGCCGCGUGAGUGAAGGAGGAUUUCGGUUCGUAAAACUCUGUUGUUAGAGAAGAACAGCGCAUAGAGUAACUGUUAUGCGUGUGACGGUAUCUAACCAGAAAGCCACGGCUAACUACGUGCCAGCAGCCGCGGUAAUACGUAGGUGGCAAGCGUUGUCCGGAUUUAUUGGGCGUAAAGCGAGCGCAGGCGGUCAAUUAAGUCUGAUGUGAAAGCCCCCGGCUCAACCGGGGAGGGUCAUUGGAAACUGGUUGACUGGAGUGCAGAAGAGGAGAGUGGAAUUCCAUGGGUAGCGGUGAAAUGCGUAGAUAUAUGGAGGAACACCGGUGGCGAGGGCGACUCUCUGGUCUGUAACUGACGCUGAGGCUCGAAAGCGUGGGUAGCAAACAGG
rnacentral:rRNA from 1 species